rnacentral:rRNA from 1 species
GACGAACGCUGGCGGCGCGCCUAACACAUGCAAGUCGAACGAGCGAGCGAGAGGUUGCUUUCUCUAGCGAGUGGCGAACGGGUGAGUAACGCGUGAGGAACCUGCCUCACUUAGUGGGACAACAUUACGAAACGACUGCUAAUACCGCAUAAGCUCACAGGUCGGCAUCGACCAGGGGGAAAAUGAGCACUCCGCGUUGAGAUGGCCUCGCUUCCGAUUAGCUAGUUGGUGAGGUAACGGCCCACCAAGGCAACGAUCGGUAGCCGGACUGUGAGGCUGAACGGAGACACUGGCACUGAGACACAGCGCAGAAUACUACGCGAGGCAGGAGAGGGGGAUCUUGCAAAAUGGCGGAAGCCAUGAAGGCGUGCGGCUGCUUAAACGCAGAAGGUCUGAGGAUUGAACACUCGUGUUGUACCGGAAGAUAAUGACGGUACUCAAAAAGGAAGUGACGGCUAACUUCGUG